rnacentral:misc_RNA from 1 species
GCCUGCAGGUCAUGACAUUUUUCCGCUUUGCAAAAGGAUUAUCCACUAGCAGUUGAUUCCACACUGCUCGACAUCUGGGCCAGUCACCUGGGUUGUAAAAGGAUCAAUGCGAACCCAGAGUAAGGAGAAGAUAGAGGCAAGGAGAAUUGACCAUACAACAACAAUUGUAGGUGUCCGGUUCUGCCGUCCCAUUAAACCCUUAAGGAAGGGAUAUAGAUGGAUAAUCACCCAGAAAGCAAAGAAUAGCUUGCCAAAGAGAGGACCCCAAGAUUGAUAGCCACUGUUAAUGGCAUAGGAAAUUCCAGCAACUACUCCAACCAGAUUAAUUAUAAGGAGAGUGGUUGGUGGAAUGAGUAGGGUGGUCCAUUUGAACAUAUAAAGCUCAGCAAAAUCUCCAUCUUCAUCAGAUGCUUUAGAAGUGACAGUGAAAUUGGUAUCUAUUCCAGCAAGGACUUUCAACAGGCCUUGGAAAACAGCAAAAAGGUGAGCUGAUACGCCUCCAAUAACCCAGAAUUGUUCAUUUCUCCACCACUCAUCAAUUCCAACACCACUCCAUCUCAUUUCCAAAAUACCAGUAGCAAAGAUAGAAAGAAAGAGGGAUAUGAACCAGAUACUGGCAAUGUUACUGAUCUGUGGAAUAAUGAACUUUCCAGUAAGAAGACAGACGGCUGGCAAUGUACAAUACGCGAGAAGAGGAAUGGAUGUGACAGGAUAAAUUGUGGUAUUGACAUAAGCAAAUCUCUCAAGCCAUUUUAGUCUUCCACCAUAGCCAUACCAUAUGGGGCAGUGGCGGCUAAAAAGAAUCUCAACUGAACCUAAAGCCCAGCGAAGCACUUGAUUUAGACGAUCAGAGAGGUUAAUAGGUGCAGAACCUUUAAAGGCAGCAAGAUGUGGCAUGCAAUAGAUUGAUCUCCAACCACGAGCAUGCAUCUUGAAUCCUGUAAGGAUAUC